UCUGAAAUCCCGCUAAUUCUCGCCUACCCUUUUACGUAUACUGAGGUUUCGGACAUACUAUUCGUUCGCCUACUGCUUUUUGCCUACUAUAUAGUAUGGCAGUAUGCGGUUUCGGAUUCAGCCCAUGUCUCGGCUGCCACGUCAUCAAGCAUCGUCGAAGGACAUCUCAAUCUGCUUGUUUUGUCUUUUGUUGUUUGAAUUAAAUUACAAAAGGUUUAACUGUCCAUGUUGUAAAGACCGUUGAUACAUGACUUUUAUUCACUGUACUACAGUAUUGGAUUUUUUUUGGUGAUGCAUUGCUAAUUUUCAACUUCUCUCUUUAAAGUUUUCAUGCCAUGACCACUGAGGCGGAAACCAUUAUGACAUUGCCUUGGACAUCAAACUAAACCAUCUCAUUCUGGCUUUUGAGGUGGAUUCUAACCUCGAAAUCUCAGAAGGACAGGUCUAAGAUGGACACAGCCUCCAUAGGAUGCAACCUUGCAUUUGAGAAACACCCAUAGAACGGUCAACUUACCCCAUACUCUAACCUGAAUGCAGGGAUCAUAAAACUUUAUCUUUUACCUUAAUUGUUAGAUGGGUGUUGAUACCAAACUUUUUUUCUCGUCUACCCAGAAGAAAGUCAUGGGUUCUGCUGCUAAGGUUGUCAUAAACGUCUUUUAUUCUGCUUACCUGACUCAUGUAGAAUUCUGGCUUGAUGUUUGGUCCACCUGUUAGCUGGCUCUGGUGCUUGGUAGUCUUCUCAAACCUCUGAAUCAAGACCACCAUGAGAGGCCUUCUGAAGACCAUCAUUACGCUUCAGAUCCAGCUGUCUUUACUUUGAGAUAGAACUGAACUGGAGUCUAUGAACUAAUGCUGUGUUCGAGACAACUUGGAUGUUGGAUAUUAUUGACCUUAAACCCGUAAGAAGUCAGGAACAGGAAACAAAGUGGAGUAUCCGACCUCUCAACUUGGAACAGAUCGAUCAACACCGACCUCAACGAGAUGCGUCAUUUGACAUUGCAGACAAGGUGGUGGCUAGCCUUUCACAGCCUUACAUGAACCGCAAACAAACUUUAAACAGCACGUAAUAUAGAUGAACAUGAAUGUUAAAUUAUCCAGUAACCGUUUUCUGCCAUAAUUGGCACAAGAGCACAAACUUCUCCUGGCGUCUCAUUAUGUGGUAAACACGCAAAUGUGAUACGUGAUUGACUGGAAUGCAUUGAGGUCGGAGGUAGGAUAUUUAAUGACAUAACAUCAGAAAUCAGAGUUGUCUGUAACACUGCACAAUAUUUCACCUAAUUGUUACCACCUUAUUAUCAUGUUUUUAACACAACCAUUGAUUGGUCACACGGAUGA